AACCACUUCGGUGGGGAUUAGUGGCGAACGGGUGAGUAACACGUGGGCAAUCUGCCCUGCACUCUGGGACAAGCCCUGGAAACGGGGUCUAAUACCGGAUACUGACCCUCACGGGCAUCUGUGAGGGUCGAAAGCUCCGGCGGUGCAGGAUGAGCCCGCGGCCUAUCAGCUUGUUGGUGAGGUAAUGGCUCACCAAGGCGACGACGGGUAGCCGGCCUGAGAGGGCGACCGGCCACACUGGGACUGAGACACGGCCCAGACUCCUACGGGAGGCAGCAGUGGGGAAUAUUGCACAAUGGGCGAAAGCCUGAUGCAGCGACGCCGCGUGAGGGAUGACGGCCUUCGGGUUGUAAACCUCUUUCAGCAGGGAAGAAGCGAAAGUGACGGUACCUGCAGAAGAAGCGCCGGCUAACUACGUGCCAGCAGCCGCGGUAAUACGUAGGGCGCGAGCGUUGUCCGGAAUUAUUGGGCGUAAAGAGCUCGUAGGCGGCUUGUCACGUCGGUUGUGAAAGCCCGGGGCUUAACCCCGGGUCUGCAGUCGAUACGGGCAGGCUAGAGUUCGGUAGGGGAGAUCGGAAUUCCUGGUGUAGCGGUGAAAUGCGCAGAUAUCAGGAGGAACACCGGUGGCGAAGGCGGAUCUCUGGGCCGAUACUGACGCUGAGGAGCGAAAGCGUGGGGAGCGAACAGGAUUAGAUACCCUGGUAGUCCACGCCGUAAACG
rnacentral:rRNA from 1 species